rnacentral:rRNA from 1 species
UACAGAGGUCUCGAGCGUUAGUCGGAGUCACUGGGCUUAAAGCGUACGUAGGCGGAUAUGCAGGCGUCGUGUGAAAUCCCUCGGCUCAACCGGGGAACUGCACGGCGAACCGCAUGUCUUGAGAAAGGUAGGGGCUGUCGGAACGAUAGGUGGAGUGGUGAAAUGCGUUGAUAUCUAUCGGAACGCCGAAGGUGAAGACAGGCAGCUGGGCCUUUUCUGACGCUGAGGUACGAAAGCGUGGGUAGCGAACGGG